rnacentral:rRNA from 1 species
AGUGGCGGACGGGUGAGUAACGCGUAAGAAUCUAACUUCAGGACGGGGACAACAGUGGGAAACGACUGCUAAUACCCGAUGUGCCGCGAGGUGAAACCUAAUUGGCCUGAAGAAGAGCUUGCGUCUGAUUAGCUAGUUGGUGGGGUAAGAGCCUACCAAGGCGACGAUCAGUAGCUGGUCUGAGAGGAUGAGCAGCCACACUGGGACUGAGACACGGCCCAGACUCCUACGGGAGGCAGCAGUGGGGAAUUUUCCGCAAUGGGCGAAAGCCUGACGGAGCAACGCCGCGUGAGGGAGGAAGGUCUCUGGAUUGUAAACCUCUUUUCUCAAGGAAGAAGUUCUGACGGUACUUGAGGAAUCAGCCUCGGCUAACUCCGUGCCAGCAGCCGCGGUAAUACGGGGGAGGCAAGCGUUAUCCGGAAUUAUUGGGCGUAAAGCGUCCGCAGGUGGUCAGCCAAGUCUGCCGUCAAAUCAGGUUGCUUAACGACCUAAAGGCGGUGGAAACUGGCAGACUAGAGAGCAGUAGGGGUAGCAGGAAUUCCCAGUGUAGCGGUGAAAUGCGUAGAGAUGGGGAAGAACAUCGGUGGCGAAAGCGUGCUACUGGGCUGUAUCUGACACUCAGGGACGAAAGCUAGGGGAGCGAAAGGGAUUAGAUACCCCUGUAGUCCUAGCCGUAAACGAUGGAUACUAGGCGUGGCUU